UACGGGGGAUGCAAGCGUUAUCCGGAUUUAUUGGGCGUAAAGCGCCUGUAGGUUGUUUAAUAAGUCUGUUGUUAAAGCCUAGGGCUUAACCCUAGAAAAGCAAUGGAAACUACUAGACUAGAGUAUGGCAGGGGUAGAGGGAAUUUCUAGUGUAGCGGUGAAAUGCGUAGAUAUUAGAAAGAACACCGGUGGCGAAAGCGCUCUACUGGACCAUUACUGACACUCAGAGGCGAAAGCUAGGGUAGCAAAAGGGAUUAGAUACCCCUGUAGUCCUAGCCGUAAACGAUGGAUACUAGAUGUUGUGCAUUAUGGACAGUAUCAUAGCUAACGCGUUAAGUAUCCCGCCUGGGGAGUACGCUCGCAAGGGUG
rnacentral:rRNA from 1 species